CCCGCGCCGCCUGAUAUAGCCGGGCACCUGGGACACACCUUGCGGGGCUCUCCCCGCCUCCCGCUCGGCCCGCGCCCACGGGAGCUGCGUGGGGCCGCCCGCCCGCCCUCGCCGCCGCCGGGGGAGGGGGCAGCCGGGCGGGCGCCGCCGUUUCGGGCGGGAGCGGCGGGAGCUCCCGGCGCCCGGGGAGCCCGGGCACGGCUCUCGGUGGCUCGGGGUUGCUGCAGCGCCGGGGAGGGACGGGAGGCAGGGACGGCCACGCUCGGUUAAACGCCGCCUUGUGCGAGAAGGCAGCGGGGCCGGGCAGGCCGGGGCGGCUGGCGGGAGCUUGCGGUCAGGUGCAGCCGUGGGGAGGGAGCGGGCUGUGGAAAAGGCCUGGGAGCUUCAGGCUGUGUACAGGCUACAGGGUAAAUUCUUUAUCUGUUUUUUUUUUGGUAUUGCGCUAAAAAUGUUGGUGUUGAGCCGCUCCUAUCUAGGUUAAACCACCUGCAGUAUUUUAGUAGCUAGUGGUGCUCAGUUUGUACGGUAACUUCAAGAUGCAGGUUUCUGAUUAAUUCAGCUGCUUUGCCAUGUGGAUGGUGCUCUGCAUGUUAUUGCUUGAGCAUUUGUUUACCUUUAGUAAAUUCAAGGCAAUGAAGUGGAAACAUGAGCAUUCUCAACACCCUUCUGAUUUGAUAAUUUUCUGUUCGUGACUGUUUAGUAAGCUUAAUGUUGUGUGCUGUUCUGUGGCAUAUUUUUCUAGCAGAUCACCCCACUCCCCUCCAAACCCAGGAUGCUAACAGAAGAAUCAUUAAUCUGUUGUGCGUUUUAAUUGUUAUUGGAUCUGACUACCUAGAGCAGAGUGCACAUUGUCUGCAGGUAGUUAUGUAAAGGUGUGAGAAGGUUGCUCAUGAGAAACCUACACACUUCUAGUUCAGUGCCUCCAUCUCUUAAGCUAUUCAGCCCUCUUUGUUUGCUGUAAUUGUCCAUUUUAUCGUGAUUCUGAUUCUUUAUGCUGUAGCUAAAUUAGAAGUUUCAGCAGAAAAAUGUCAAACUGUGCUAAGUUCCCAUUAAAAAACAAAACAAGACAAAGACAAACUCAAAACAUUUAAGCAUAUGCUUAUUUUAAGCAUUUGAGUAAAAUUGCAUGUGAGUAAAUCAUACCUGUGAUGUUUGUAAGGCUAAAGUAAGUACCUGAAUUCAGAAGUAACAAUAUAUUCAUUGACAAGACAGGUCAACAAUAUACAACCUUGUUCUGAAGUUCUCAAUGAGGCUACUUUUUUUUGCUGGAGCACUAAGGACUUUAGCUGGGAAGAUGUACUUCUGACAGUUGCCUUUUAGCUCCUUCUAUUCCAACUGUCUUAGCCACUAAAAUAGUUGCUAGUAUUCUGUUAUUCCAGAUUAAUCCUUUGAGAGCCUCAGAAGAGGAAGAGCAAGUGGGGGUGGGAUGCAUUGACACCCUAAUCUAAAUAAAAUACUUGAUUACCUCCUUUCUGUGGAUGGUCCAAAUAAUUUGAAGUGUGACAUUGCAAUAGAAAGCAAGUUACUAGUGUCUCUGUGGAAGUUUGUGGUUGUGUUUGGUUAAGUGGGUGUUCAUGACAAUUACUGAGCUGUUCAGCUCAUGGAUGCUUGUAUGUGUAUUAGUGGGUGUCUCGUCCCUUAGAAGUCAGUAUUAAAUUACUCAUUUCAGUGAUGGAGAGCUAAGAUGCAAAGACAUUUCCUAAGGCCACCUAUGAUGUAUGGGGCUGAUCUGAAAACUGACUUAAUUUCCUUAAUUUCCAUAUGUUCUUUAACUCCUUUUUUUUUUUUUUUAUGGGAACACUGUUCGAUUUUUUUCUUUUCUUUGUGCUUUAUAGAAUCAAAGGAAACACAUGUAAUUUGUACUGCAAUCACUGUAUUGUACAAAAAUUCAAUUACAGAGUCAUGUAGGGAUUCUUGCUACAUACAAUGAGGUGGUGUCACAUGCUCAUUGUAUCUGGGCUGGGGGAAGCAUAAUCUAUUCCAGAAACUUGUGAUCUCAAGUCUUGGUGGCAUGGAGUAAGUGCAGCUCCCUGUUACCAGGUAGUUGCUUUUAAGAAAAGUUGCUCUUUUUCCCACCUGCCCUAAGCUGAAGGGAAAGUCUUACAUCUCUCUCACAAACUGUAUGUUUUAGAAAAGUUACUGCCUGCUUAGGGUAACAAUAUCUGUAUAUGACUUUGAUCCAACAAGUGAAUCUGGGUUGAAUAUUUACUCUCACUAAAUCAUGAAGUGUGAAGGUACUUUACAGAUUUCUUCAAUGAACUGAUGUUGGGAUGAAGAAGGUUGGGCACUGAGCAACCUUGACUGAGCAGAAAGCAAGAGCAGAUAGUUAUGUCCAAGUCAUUGCAUAAAAGGGUUGAUGACACCUGUAAAUAGAGUUGGUGACAGGAUUGACCCUAUUUAUUCCCAUAAUCUGGGAUUAUUUAAAUGCAUGAUGUUAGGCACGUGCCUGGAUGAAAUAUGUCUGUAUUAGCUUUUAUGAUUUUGCAUUACUUUGGUAGAACACAUUUUAAGAGUGUUGAAAGUGGUAUGGCAGAGUGGGAAACCAACCAACCACAGCGUGGUAUAUAGACCUGCAGUUAAAAUGCCAGCAAAAUAAGCUCUCUUACACACACAUGCAGACUCCUCCCGUUUCUCUGUAUUCUUUGGCAGAGUGCAGCAGAGAGUACUGUUACUGCCAAGCAGGCUUUAGCAAUCAUCUGAAAAUAUCCUUUCUGCUGAGACUAUAUUGUAAACAUUUAGUUGUAUCUCGUCCUUUUCUACCUUGUUUCUCCCUCAUGUAAAGCUAGAAUCUUUAAGAUGUACCUUGUAAUCUGAAGUUGAUACUGUUCUUUACCCACAGGUAGCAAGAGUUGUAGUUGUUGCUUCUAUCUAGCCACCAUCUGUUAACUUCUUUCUGGCUGUGACAGAUUUUUCAUGUGCUUUGCAAAUAGUGUAUCUAAUGCUGCCAAACUUCUUAUGUGAUCAUUCACUGCCCAUCAAUAGCUGUGAUGAAAACAGAGAGCUAUGUGAGGAAAAAGUAAUAAAUAAAUUAAUGUAUGCUAUACGUGCCUGUGAAUUAGCCUUCUUCAUUCACAAUUUUAGUUUUGUAAUUAAGUGAAACCUAAGCUCUCUGGCAGGAAAUGGAGAAUGAUUCAUACAAACACCCGUGAAUUCACAAUUGCUUGUAUUGGACUUGAAGUCACUUAACCCGUUUAUCUUUAUGCUUUUCCAUUCUCAGCAGGUGCUUCAUGUCUCUAUUGUAUCUGAUCCCACACUUUUUUUAUUUCCUUUUUCCAUGGAGGAAAAGCAGGAGGACUUCUGAGUUGUUUUGUUGCCUUUUUGCACUGUAUGACUCAUAAAGUUAAAAAAGCAGCCUGAAAUUUGGGAGAUUACUACUUAAGUAAGCAUAGUAAAAUAACUUUAAAACUGUUACAGUAAGAGCAAAACAUGAGAUGGUCCAAGGGUGACAACAGCAUUCUGAGCAGGCUGUGAAAUGGACAAUGCUGGAAAAUGCUUUUUAUGCAUAUCAGUGAGCAAAUGGAAAGGUCCACUUUGCUGUAGUGCUGUGACAUCAGGAUGUUUUAGCAAUACAAGAGAAGGAUUUCCCAAAAGUAAAAGUUAGAGCCUCGUCCCUUUGAAGUCAGAGUCUUGAUCUUGUUGGUAUCAAACAGAGCAGACAGGAGCCUAUUUUUUUGGGCUCAUAGGUACUGAAAAUUACUGUGCAGUUCCAUAUGUACAUGUGUGUUCUAUAUAUUCAGUUUACUAAAAUGAGGUACUACAAUGAAACCCUGUUUGCAAAAUAAUUUAAUUUUUAUUUUGGAAGUAAUUUUUGAAGUGCCUUUUUUUUGGCACUUGACACAAAUACUCCAAAGCUUAGUUUUCCAUUCCUUUUUUUUUUCUAGAGUUGAAGAUUUUCUUCCACUCAUUUAUAUUUUUGUGUUUGCAAAACAUCUAUUACUGCAGUGUUUAAAGCCAGUUGUGGUGUUUGAGGAUGGUCUAAAGCUGUAAUGGAAACAGCCAUGGGGUUUUUUGCCUUUAUUCAGUAUUCCCACUUUGUAUCAGAAGUCUGAUAAAGUUGCAACAUCUUGCACUUCUGAUGUAACUUCUAACUUGGGAUGUUCAGUUCCAUAGGCUUCCUUGACACAAGGCUGUCUGGCACAGAUAUUGAGAAGUUGGCUUAUUUGUCUUUCUAUUUUGCAAUUAAGUUUUUCCUUAAGGAACUUUCCAAAUGCUGGACAAUACAAACCAUUGUGAUAUAUAGAGUUCUUUGAAACUUUACUGAUUGAAACCUGUCCUUCAAGCAGAGUAUGUCCCAGCUGCUGCCACAACCACAGUGCUCAGGCAGACUCAUCCUCUCCCUUAGCUCCCAGCCUCCCUCCUGUGGCCCCCUGGGAAAGGUCCAUUCCAGCAGCAGGCUUCGGGGCUCUGUGUGGAUGAAGAGAUCUGCAGUCAAGCCUGGAAGAUGCAAUUGCAUCUCAUCUAACUGCACAGGUAAACUCUUGGCUCUGACUGUGCUGCCUCAACUUGGCUUAUGUUCAGCAGCUUCAGCUGUCCUGUUAUUAAUCUCAAGUCACGCUGCAUAUGGCCAUGUUUGAGUGUGUCUGACUGCUUACCUGGGCAUAGAUUCUUAAUGCUGGGCUGCAGGUAAAACUGCACUGUGGGCUCCACUAACUUGUGUCUAGGAGCAUUAUAAUUACUAUCUUCUCUUAAGCAUGUGUCAGUGUUUCCAAUGCAAUUUAAUCUUUGAUGAUUGACCUGCAUUUAGUUUUUCUCCCUUUGUCUUUUCUUGUAUUUACAAAAUUACUAAGUGUGUUGACUAUGCUUCUCAGCCCUUCUGUGUCUUUAAGAGCCUCUGUCAGCGCUUGCCUGGGCAGAGGGGCAGCAAGGGGAGAUGGAGUCUGUGCCCCCUGCUUCUCUGCCUGGUGACUGCAGAGGGCUGGCAGCUGGGCAGAGGAAGCUUCAGCCUCGUCAGCAGCAUGAUAUUUGGCCCUUUGCCCUUUCUAUCUUCUCUAUAAAUACAGUUAAGUUUUAAGUGAACUAUUAAUUUCAUGUUGUACUGGCUGAUACUACUAAUUUUAUUUUUUGAGAGGCUGUGCUUAGGGGUGAGUUAGAAUAACUUGUCAAGGUUCUCCUGCCUUUGAGAUUUUGCAGUUGUUCUUUCAAGCCACACUUUAAAAAGUAUAUGCCAGCAAACCUAAGGCUUGCCCUUGCAAUCUGUCCAUGGUGUAUCGUAAGUCCAUUCACAUACUGCAGGUUGAAGCCCCUGAGUCUCAGCACUGGAGCAAAUUUAAGGGGAUUCUGUGGAACUUCUGAAAACAUGUGGUGCACCCGAGGCAACAUGUUGCAUAAGGGAGUUGUGCAAUCUCAAACCGCCUGAAGUCUGUCAUAAUUUGUGUACCUUGCCUUUCUGUUCUAACAUCCUUUCCACAGCUGUGGAUAAGACUCUGCACUUACUUUUGAACAAAUGAGAAAAUAAGACUUGACGUGUUCAAAAAGGCAGUGCCCUUUUUUGUACAGUCUGUGCCAUCUGAAGUCAAUGACUGCAGGUAACGCCUUGCAGGCAUUGGGAGCUUUGGUAGGUGUACUCUGUGCUCCAAAUGACCCUUUAGGGAGCAUCAGACCUACCUCUUUGAGGUGAACAUGAGCAGAUGCACUCUGUACAUACUCGGAAUAUUUGGGCUAGCAGAAGUACGGGCAAGGGAUGAAGACUCAGCUCAGAAACCAUUUAUUGUCUUGCUGGUGUGUGCUACUGAUAAUAAAUGUUUAUGGAGUCCCUGCUGGUAUCAGGAAAACCUGCGUCUGAAGUAUGGGUACUCCUGGGAGUUAAAUGUUUUGGCUGAUGCCUUUCAGUACUUGGCUUGAGAGAGAAGACAUUAAAGCCACAGAAGUGGUGAGAAGUGUGCAAAAUUAUUGCAUGUGAAGAAGAGAUGAGUUUAAAUGCUUUAGCUUUUGUAUUCACAAAAAAAUAAGCAAUUAACCAUUUUCACAGUUUUUGUUUGAAGAAGGAGCCUUUCAAAGUUUAAAUGAAACUGCUUGAGAGAAGAAUAUGAAAAGGUUCUUUAUUUGAAAUUUUAAUGUGAACAUUCAUCAGCUAAAUGUUUGUUUUAAAUUUUUUAUUAAUACGGAUUCAGUGGUGGUGAAUCAGAAGUGGAUAAUUUUCCUCAAACAUCAUAGACCUUAAAGGCUAUGCCAAACUCCAGUGAAGUAAUUAAUUUUCUAGUUCCAGUUAUAAAUUACCCUUUGUUGCUGUGUUCUGCCCAAACACCCCUUAUAGGCCAUCUAAAUAUUAUCCUUAAUAGUUUAAGUGUCGUGAUUCCCCUAUAAUUUUCUAGUUCCUUUUUAAUGGCUUGAAAUAGAUUAUAAAAAUAUCUCAGUGGUAGGUGUUAGAUUCUAGUCUUUCUGUGGCAGUAUGUCUCAGGCAAAGCUUUUUCUACUAGUUUGCAAGGAUCAAAUGAAUUGUUUUCAAUUUUAGUGUCUUUAUGCAGAGCACUUGUUGAAUUAGGCAUUCUCCUGACUUCAUUGGAAUUAUGAGGUGUAAUUCAUAGUGUGUUUGGCUCUUGUCACUUCAGGCAGUCAGCACCACUAAUUUGUAAUCUUGGGAAGUUAUUUAUUCUGGCCUUUAGGGCAAAAUGGCACAAGUGACAGUGAUGCAGUGAAAUGCUUUACUUACUUAUUUUUAAACCACUAGCUCUAGUUGCUAUAUUUUUUACAACGAACACAUUACUGUGCUGAGUAUUUAAAAAUUUCACAGAACAUUUUGUUCUCUGAUUUAAAUCCUGCAUACCAAGCACCUGCCUGGGGCAAAAAAAAAAAAAAAAAAAAAAAGUUAGCUUUGAUACUCCAAAACUGGUUGAAUAAAUCCUGUGCAGCUGGCCUGCGUGAAAUAUGCCCAGUGACAGGAAGCUGCAGAGAGGAUUCAGAGGGUUAGGAAGAGCUCUGUGCCUGUCAGGUGCUAGGAUUGUUUUUGCCGUGAGGGGCAGUAACAUAAAGGUAUCCAUACUGCUCGGUAUUAAGUGUACAAAGUGGUGUUUGCCAUGUGGUUCCCUCAAGCUUACAUGUAGGCAAAGCUGAUGCAUAAAUGUGCAAUAUUGCCUUCUUUGUAUUUUUAUACGUGCUUUGAUAUUUUCCAAUUUUGGAACUGACUGUUGUUAAAGCCUCAAAGGGAAUCUGCGAGUCUGCUGCAGCUGAGAAUAUGUUUCUAGCACUGGAUGUUCCUGUGUGGUUGUAAAUGCCUCUUCAUGGGUGAGGAAGUGGCGUUGUCUAGCCUGUACUCAAUUGUUUGUCAAGGGGAAUUCUUGGAGACUUACUUAAAUGACCAAGCCAACACAGUACAAUUUACUUGUGUGUACUUUUGGAUGAGAUGCCAGUAAGUGUUAUGGAUUGGAGACUAUUUUUUCUGCCUGUGCUAUUCUCACCACCAUCUCUGCUACUUCAGCUGUCUCCACUUUGCUUCUUUUUGUAAUGUAACCCAGCUGAGACACGAUCCCAAAAGGAAAAUGGCUUAAAUCUAAACCUCAUAAAGUCAUCAAUUAAAAGACAUACAUUUCAGGAAAAUAAAUUUUGGAGUACAAAGUUUGAAGGCUGUGGCCAGUUCACAUGAACAGCUUGUAGCAAGGUCAUGUUUUCCUCUUAAUAGUGCAUUGACAGGAGUUUGGAAAGCCUGCUUUUAGUCUUGCGUGAGCAGAGUCGUUUUGGCAGUGCUCUGCAGUGUUGCCUUUGUGAAUCCAGGUCCAUUCUCAGGCUCCAGAGAGCUUCGAGGCUGUUCUAGUUUGGUUUGGUGGGUUUUUUGAUAGCGGGGGAAGGGCCCCAGGGUGGCUCCGGUAAGAAGCUGAGAAGCUCCUCCUGCUCCAAACUCAGCCAUGGAGGCAUUAGAGGGACAAUAGAUGCGCCUCUGCCAUUAACAUACGAAAGAACUGAGGUAAGAGCUGAGCAGAGCGAGCACUUAAGAGAGAAAAGUGGUGCUGGAGAGGGAGAGGGGUGCUGGUGGUUGGUGAGGAAGAAGGAGAAGAAGGUGCCCUAGCAGAAGUUUUCCUGCAACCCAUGGCGAGAUGACAGGCUGUCCCCCUGCACUCAUGAAGGAACGUGGUGGAGCAUUCCCUGAAAGCGUCAGGAGGGGUGAACUUGGCCAGUGGACUCAGAUUUGCUGCCAGUGGACUCUGAUUAUGCAACUGUGGAAGACCCCGGCUCCAGGGGAGGUGGCGGUUCCUGGAGGGCCCGUGACUCUGUGGGAAGCCCAGGCUGGAGCAGCUCCAAACCUCAUGGGAAGGACUCAUGAAGGAGAGGUUGGUGGAGGACUCUCUCCAUGGGAGGGACCCCUUGGGGAAGCAGGGGAGGACUGUGAGGAAUCCUUCUUCCUGAGGAGGAAGGAGCAGCAGGAACCACCAGCCUGUGAACUGACUCUAAACCCCAUCCCCUGUCCCCCUGUGCCGCUGGGGGGAAGGAGGGAGAGAAACCGGGAACAAAAGGAUUUGGGCCCAGGAAGAAGGAAGGGGUGGAGGUAACAUAUGUAAGCUCUGUUCUUUGUAUUGUCUGUGUCCUGUGUGUGUUUGAUUAGUGUGAAAUUAAAUUGUUAUUUUUCCCCAAGCUGAGUCUGUUUUGCCUGGGACCUUAAUCGGUGAAGAACCCUCCUUGUCCUUUGUCUCAACCCAUGAGCUUUGUCCUCCUCAUCCCAGAGCAUGGGUGUGUGUGUGUGUGACACACUAAGAGGGACUUAAAAAAAAAUAUUUGUGUGCAUUGAAUCUUAAACCAACUUGUAGCAAAAUGAGAUAAGAAGAAAAUUUUCCUUGCAGCCAGUUUGGCCAUUAGGUGUUUCUGACAGGGUUUUUGUGUGCUGUCCCCAUGUCAUUUUAUUGUGGCCAUACACUGAAAUAAUGCACUGGGCUAUGUGGACCACUGGGCUGAGCAAGUGCAUGGAGAUUCUUAUGAUGACUAUGCUGAAAAACUUUUAUUUAGGGACCUUGACAUAAUUUUAUUUUAUUUGUUCCAGAAUGGGAUCACCCUUGCUCCUGUUGAUGCAUGAUCUGUGUACCAGGACUCAAGCAGGACUGAGGGACACAUCUUGUCAGGCAACACAAGUGGUAAGAAGCUGGACUGCCUUUCUUCAACUCUUUACUGCCUUCCCAGGAUUUGAAAGUGUGACAAAAAUAUUUCAUCCCUUUACAGGAUUAGGGAUGCGAAGUUUGCCUCUCACCGAGCUGCUGCUGGCUGGUUCACUGCCUGAUAGAGGGUGUCUCUUAAGACCUGAUUUAGCCUGAAGCAACAGUUUCUCAUGAGUUCUGAAACAGGGCUGAAGAAGUGCAAAUGUUGCAUCCUUUCCCUCCUGUCAUCUGCUUCCACACAAGCGCAGUGCCUGUGCUGUGCCUGCAACUCAGUCACCCUGAAAUGCUCCUUGUUGGUGGAGAUUUGUACUGAGCUGGUACAGAGUGGACUUUGCUUUUGAUAGCAGUAUCCCUUGUUGCUGUGUCAUUCUUGGAGAAGAUGGGUUCAUCCUUUCCUUUUUUUUCCACUGGGACUAGCUGUUCUACACACAGGAACCAAAAGAGGCAAAUCUAUAUCCUCUUUCAGUUUUUGAAUUGAAGGUCUACAUCACAUGAAAUUCUUGGGUGUUUUGGAGAGGUAAAGCUUCUUUUUUUAAAAACAAAAACAACAAACAAACGACAUUGAACCCAAGUUGAAGAAACAACUGGCUGAUACAGUGCAUGGGAGUAUAAAGCAUUCCCAUUCCAUCUGGUCUUGCACAUCCACUCCCUGUAAAUACAUUAAAUGUGAUAGCUGUCAGGCAUGAGCAUAGAUUCAGAGAUGGUCAGGACUAGUUUGCCAUGCAGACAUUUAUCUGAUGGCCCCAUCCUAUUUUCUAGAACCAAGAUUUCACUACUAUAAAAUGAACAUCUUAAAGCAUUGUAAGAGAUAGGAGGAUUAGGUGUACUUAACCAGAGUUUAGGUUAGGCAUAUCUCACAUCUUGGAGUUUGCCCGUAAAUAACAAAGUAUAUCAUCAAUGGCAGUAUGACCUUCUUCAUCUUUAACUACACAAAAGAAAAGGACAGUCCUGAAAAUGCAGCAGUCUUUAAAAUAAAGACAUAUUGACCCUGAAUUAUCACAGUGAAAUUCAACAGGGCUGUUCCUAUUAAUGAUCUAAGAAUAUAGAUGUGAUUGAAUACAUAGAAAACUGUAUCUUGUUCCAGUCACCUUUAUUACUAUAAUAAAUUAUACUAACUCUCUCUUCCUACAGACCUUAUCUUAUCUGUUUAUAGUGUUGGCAUUUAUUUUGUUUUGAGCUGGGAAGCAAUGUGUACCUAGAUACUGUAAGUUUGUAAGAGACUUUAUGAUUAUGCCAUUUUAAAAUAAUUCUUUGUGUUCUGAUUACUAGUUUGAACUAAGAAAAUAUAUUUAUACUCCUAAAAGCAGUAGCAGAUUUGCUACAACACACCAGUUCAGAGUUAUUUGCUCAUGAACUGUCAUUUCCAGAAAACUCCCAGAUUUCCUGCACCUAUUUUCUCUAGUAGGUGGCAAAUCCUUAGUACCUCCCAAAAGCUGCUCAAAGUCUGUAGGGUAUGAAGGCUUUGCUUUAUUUUUUUGGUUUGUUUUUUUUAAAUCUUGGUAAAAAGUCAUGAAUGAAAUAAAUUAAGCUGUUGCUCAACAUA